GUGCUCGCUUCCGAAGCACAUAUACUAAAAUUGGAAUGAUACAGAGAAGAUUAGCAUGGCCCCUACGCAAGGGUGACACAAAAAGACACGUUGUUAUGCUAGCAGAU